GCGGUGGCCCGACCGCGUCCGAGUCCCCCAUGAUGUUUCACACAGACGGGAAGUGGAGAGGAGUUCACUUCAGCAGUUUACUCCGGGUAGUGGCAUGUCUGUUGAUGUGGUGGCACAGUGGCCUGGAAGACAGGGAAGUGCAGGAGCGAAGCCAAAACAAACAGCCCGCCUUGAGAGCACGUAGACUUGGAGGAGGGAGUGUCUCCGUGGAGCCACAUGAGGGAGGCUGUUCCACUGAGGAGACAAGUCGACGUCCCACGGUGUCCACAACCUUUUCAUCGGCCCGGUGUAUGAGCCAGUAGAGGGUGUCCAAGGCCUAACUCCUGCUUCUGCCUUUUGAUCCUGCCAGAAGCUCGGCCUCGGAAUCAGAUGGUCGUCUUGUCUUCGCUGCCACAGAAGAACAGCACUGUUGGAGCUGAGUGUGGGAGACAGUCCAACAUUUCACUAAAUACAGACGGCAGUUUGAAAGGGCUGUGCUCCUCAGUUUGCCUUUGGUUAGUAAGAGAUGCAGCGAUCUGCCAUUUAUACAGAACACAGA